GUUGAUUCGGCAGUACGUACACUAAAAUUGGAAGAAUACGCAGAAGAUUAGCAUGGCCCCUGUGCAAGGAUGACACGCAGAUUUGUGAAGGAUUCCAUGUUUUU
ensembl:snRNA U6 U6 spliceosomal RNA